rnacentral:lncRNA from 1 species
CUGUCCUUUGACUUCCACCAGAUGGUGUGCUUCCUGGAGGCACAGGAGGACAAAGGAAAUAUCUUGUUUUUGAUUUCUUGGAAGAGGAAGCACUCUGGGCAAGAGGUAUGAGCCGGGAUGAAGUGGACUCCUUGUCUGGAGGUGGUGCUACACACCUUGGAGGGGCUCCUGGGAGCUACUGAGAAUGUCCCCUAAGUCAGUAUUCCUGCCUCAGCUGAAAUGCCAGUCUUCAGCCUGGUUGGGUGCAUGUGAGGCAGAAAACAUGUCUCUUUAGUUCACAGGUUUUCAGAUGGAGAGAA